GUGUUCAGUGUUUUAUUGGUCAGUGAAGUGAGAAAAGGGAAAAAAAUUUGUGGUAUACAAACUGUAAAGAGAGAGAAAAAACAUUGUUUGCAGAUUCUAUUUUUAGAAUGUAUAACUAAAACAAAACAAACGUAAGUAUUAAUAGAAAAAUUCGUCAUGAGAAGACUGUGUAAGUUAGCAUGAUUAUAAAAUUAAUAUGAAGUCAAUAGACUUCAAAUAUGUAAAUAAAACCCAGAAUUUAUAAAAGAAGAGGAUUUCAUUUACACUAGCAGUGAAAAAGAUAAAAUACGCUGUCACACAUCCAGGACCUGCAUGGUUGGUGAUUCCAGGACCAGAGAUACCUGGCCAGUGUGGGAGGGAUAUUAGUUGUACCCAGGAGGGUUGAACAGUAAACAUACUGAGGAUAAUGAGAGCCAAAUUUUGUAAAUGUUUGAGAAGGAGACUGUAUGUAUAGAGAGGGAAGUCUAGAAUAAAUCAUACUGUGUUGGUUUGAAAUUGGAAGUAUCAGUGUGAACUUAUAGCUUUUAAUAAAGAUGGAUAGAGAUUUACAGCCAUAGAAAUAGGCAUUACUGUGUGUGGACAUGUAGUAUGCCUAUCAUGUGUUUCCUAGCUCUGUCUUUUGCCUGACAAUGACAUUCUGGAACAAACUUAGCAUGAGAUUUUAGCUUCUAAAUUCUGAAUUUUUAGUUUCUGAAUUCUUAAUUAUCCACAACAGAAGGAAAGCUGGGCUUCUUGGAGAAAAGAUGCUUUCCAGAGCAGGGGAAAUACAAAAUGAACCUGGAACAUCUAAUGCCCCAAAUAAGGAAGUGCUCCACUUAUGACAAGGACAUGUCAAAAGAACACGGAAACUAACUUGACAGGUCUCCACUGACCAAACCUUAAAUUAAUAAUAGCAAAUAAAUUAGAAAUGAAUAAUUAUAGUGGUGAAAUAAGAAUCCAUACAGAUAAAAAUCAAAUAAAUAAGGGAGGAAGGAAAGCUGUACCUUACAAUAGAAUGCCAACUAAUAUUAAUUGCCAGUAAGUACCAAAUACCUACCAUUUAUCCUUACAGUGGAGGAGUCCUGCUGACAUCCAGUGUAAGCCAUCUUAAUCAGGUUAAUAUCACCAGUAAUGGGACAAACUGACAUCACAUGUUUCCUGAUAUGGUACACUGAGGAAAACUCAGCACCAUUUCUAAGGUAUUCCUAUUGGAGGUAUUACUUGGUAUAUAUAUAUAUUAGGAUAGUGUAAUUGGGAUGAUUUUUUAAAGGGAAACCAGAAAAGGUAUCUGUGAAAUAUAAUGUGGUGCCCAAUGCUGACAAAAGGAGAUAGUUAUUGAGUGUACUUAUUCCUUUCCUUUACAUAAACCUGAUCAUAAAAUCAUUCUUAUGCACCUAUUCAACAACCAUACAUUUCAUCAUCCAGUGUAUCACCACCAUGCCAGACAUAGUGGGGAAAUCAAAAGCAUAACACCAAGAUUUGAUAUUAUAUUCUAGUUGAAAAGGUCAUGCAAAACAAAAUUUAUGGUGUUGUGGUUACCAAUUUCAUUACUGGUAUAUUAAAUACCUUUCCAAAAUUUUAAAUUGCCCGGCAGGCUUGGAAAAUAUUGGAACUUUCAGUGAAUGGUGAAAGGCAAAAGGAAAGAAGAAAAAAAUUCAUUGAUCUCUCUCUUCUCCUUCAGCAGAUAAAUGUUUUAAAGCAUUUAUUCACAAGGACAAAAAAAGAGAGAGAGAGAAAUUAUGGGAAAAAACUUUUUGGAAGCUGGCAAGUACAGUAUGCCCUAGAAAUCUCAAUCCUGAGCCAGCACUAGGAGAACCUGAGAUGCCACCUGAGUUGUACCAUAGAAUGCCCCCAAAUUCUUAGCAUUGAUUGUUUAAGUUUAGAGAAUCUGGCAACCAAGCUAAUAACCUCUAGGCAUGGAAAUAUAAAUACUUCAAGAUAAUAGACCUCAAGAUACUGAUGAUGGGGUGCCCCAAUAAAACAGCCAGAAUAGCCUACAGUGAAACUUUCAUAUUUUUUUUUGGUUGUGCCCAAGGGCAUGUAAAAGUUCCUGGGCCAGGGAUCAAAUCUGUGUCACAGCAGUAGCCAGAACCACAGCAGUGACAACACUGGGUCCUUAUCCUGCAGAGCCACUGGGGAACUCAAAAAAAAUUUCAGCUAUCCUUAAAGAAAUAAAAAAGGAGAUACUGACUACUUGAAAACACCAAGAUUCUAUUUUUUUUUUUUUGUCUUUUCUAGGGCUGAACUCACGGCAUAUGGAGGUUCCCAGGUUAGGGGUCUAAUUGGAGUUGUAGCCACUUGCCUACAUCACAGCUCACAGCAAGGCCAGGGAUCAAACCUGCAACCUCAUGGUUCCUAGUUGGAUUCGUUAACCACUGAGCCAAGAAAGUAGAAGAAAAGUAAAAUACAUUGCAAACAGCAAGAAAAGGCAAUUGGAGGCUCAAUCUGGGAAGUAUACUAUCCAAAUUUUAGACAUUUCAAGAAGAGAAAACAUGGAAAACAGGAGAAGAGUGUCAACAAUUUAGGAAACAAAACUUUCCAGAUUGAAAAGAUAUAGUACUGAUUUCCUAGACAAUGAAUGAAAUGCCCUACAAGAAGGCAUGUCACCAUAAGACCUUAGAACACUCGGGGUGAUGAGAAAUUCCUAAAAGCAUCCAGGUAUUUUUUUUACAAAAUCUAGAUCAUGUACCAAUGAUAAGGAUCCUAAGAUAACAGAGGCCACUACUUACAAAAUUCUGAAGAAAAAUCAUUUCCAACUUAGAAUUCUAUACCCAGCCAAACUAUCACUUGAAUUUACACGCUGUCUAAAGACCUCUCCAGGCAUGUGAGGUCUCACAAAUUUACUCCUGUGCACCCUUUCUUGGGAAAUUACCUGAGGGUUUAUUCCACCAAAGCAAGAGUAUAAACCAAAAAAGAAGAAAACAGAAUCCAGGAAAGCAAUGCAAACAAAGCAGAUGAAACAAACAAACAAAAAAAGUAUUAAGUUUAGGGGACAUGAAAAGUUGGGCAAUGCAAGAAAAGUAAAUGUUGCAUAACAGAUGGUUCAGUUCAGUUCUGCUGUGGCUCAGUGGUAACUAACCCGACUGGUAUCCAUGAGGACUCAGGUUCAAUCCCUGGCCUUGAUCAGUGGAUUAAAGAUCCAGUGUUGCCAUGAGCUAUGGUGUAGGUCACAGACACAGCUCGGAUCUGGUGUUGCUGUGGCUGUGAUGUAGGCCGGCAGUGGUAGCCCAGAUUUGACCCCUAACCUGGGAACUUCCAUAUGCUGCAGGUGCAGCCCUAAAAAGACCAAAAAAAAAAAAAAAAAAACAAAAAAAAAAAAAAAGAAGAAGAAGAAGAAAAAGAAAAAGGUUCAGUUCAAAAUAGCUUUGUAUAGCUCUAAUGAUGCAACAUUGUAUGUUGAUCUAAUCAAUGCUAUAACAUAAAAAUGAUGGAAGGAUGCAUGAAGGGAAUUAUGGUUCUAGGUAACAGGAAAAGUGAAAAAAACAACUAAAUCAUAAUCUUGUGAUGACAAGCAUCACUAAAUAAUACCUAAAACUUAAAAAGAAAAAAACUGUCCAAAUAAUCUCACCAUUAAGAGGUGCAGACUUAGACACCAAAAACUAUAGCAAAAGAGAGUUAUAAGUGGUUGCAAGACUCCAAGAAUUGGUGUGGCAUCCUAGAGGGAUUUUGGAGGGCAAUAAUUCCAGUGCAACUCUCUGACACUUUAGUUGA
rnacentral:lncRNA from 1 species